rnacentral:rRNA from 1 species
GACGAACGCUGGCGGCGUGCUUAACACAUGCAAGUCACGGGGGCCCGCAAGGGCAACCGGCGAACGGGUGCGUAACACGUGAGCAACCUGCCGAGUUGAGGGGGAUAGCCGGCCCAACGGCCGGGUAAUACCGCAUACGCUCAGUUUGGGGAAUCCCGAGCUGAGGAAACCUCCGGGGCAAUUCGAGGGGCUCGCGGCCUAUCAGCUAGUUGGCGGGGUAACGGCCCACCAAGGCGACGACGGGUAGCUGGUCUGAGAGGAUGGCCAGCCACAUUGGGACUGAGAGACGGCCCAGACUCCUACGGGAGGCAGCAGUGGGAAUCUUGCGCAAUGGGCGAAAGCCUGACGCAGCGACGCCGCGUGGGGGAUGAAGGGCUUCGGCUCGUAAACCCCUGUUGCCCGGGACGAACUUCUGGUUUCGACCAGAUUGACGGUACCGGGUGAGGAAGCACCGGCUAACUCCGUGCCAGCAGCCGCGGUAAUACGGAGGGUGCGAGCGUUGUCCGGAAUCACUGGGCGUAAAGGGCGCGUAGGUGGCUCGAAAAGCGUGCGGUGAAAGUUCGGGCUCAACCCCGAAUCGGCCGUGCGAACUGUCGAGCUGGAGCACUGUAGAGGCAGAUGGAAUUCCGGGUGUAGCGGUGGAAUGCGUAGAGAUCCGGAAGAACACCGGUGGCGAAGGCGGUCUGCUGGGCAGUUGCUGACACUGAGGCGCGACAGCGU